rnacentral:rRNA from 1 species
UACAGAGGUCCCAAGCGUUGUUCGGAUUCACUGGGCGUAAAGGGUGCGUAGGCGGUUGGGUAAGUCUGUCGUGAAAUCUCCGAGCCUAACUCGGAAACUGCGUCGGAUACUAUUCAACUCGAGGAAUGGAGGGGAGACUGGAAUUCUCGGUGUAGCAGCGAAAUGCGUAGAUAUCGAGAGGAACACCAGUGGCGAAGGCGAGUCUCUGGACAUUUCCUGACGCUGAGGCACGAAAGCCAGGGGAGCAAACGGG